ACACAUGCAAGUCGAACGAUGAACCUGGAGCUUGCUCUAGGGAAUUAGUGGCGAACGGGUGAGUAACACGUGAGUAACCUGCCCUUGACUCUGGGAUAACCUCCGGAAACGGAAGCUAAUACCGGAUAUGACGCACGGAGGCAUCUCCUGUGCGUGGAAAGAACUUCGGUCAAGGAUGGACUCGCGGCCUAUCAGGUAGUUGGUGAGGUAACGGCCCACCAAGCCUACGACGGGUAGCCGGCCUGAGAGGGUGACCGGCCACACUGGGACUGAGACACGGCCCAGACUCCUACGGGAGGCAGCAGUGGGGAAUAUUGCACAAUGGGCGAAAGCCUGAUGCAGCAACGCCGCGUGAGGGAUGACGGCCUUCGGGUUGUAAACCUCUUUUAGUAGGGAAGAAGCGAAAGUGACGGUACCUGCAGAAAAAGCACCGGCUAACUACGUGCCAGCAGCCGCGGUAAUACGUAGGGUGCGAGCGUUGUCCGGAAUUAUUGGGCGUAAAGAGCUCGUAGGCGGUCUGUCGCGUCUGCUGUGAAAACCCGAGGCUCAACCUCGGGCUUGCAGUGGGUACGGGCAGACUAGAGUGCGGUAGGGGAGAAUGGAAUUCCUGGUGUAGCGGUGGAAUGCGCAGAUAUCAGGAGGAACACCGAUGGCGAAGGCAGUUCUCUGGGCCGUAACUGACGCUGAGGAGCGAAAGCGUGGGGAGCGAACAGGAUUAGAUACCCUGGUAGUCCACGCCGUAAACG
rnacentral:rRNA from 1 species